UACGGAGGGUGCGAGCGUUGUUCGGAAUCACUGGGCGUAAAGGGCGUGUAGGCGGUCCGCUAAGUCUGAUGUGAAAGCCCGGGGCUCACCCCCGGAAGGGCAUUGGAAACUGGCGGACUCGAGUCCCGGAGAGGAGGGUGGAAUUCCUGGUGUAGCGGUGAAAUGCGUAGAUAUCAGGAAGAACACCCGUGGCUAAGGCGGCUCUCUGGUCCGGUACUGACGCUGAGACGCGAAAGCGUGGGGAGCGAACAGG
rnacentral:rRNA from 1 species